AGAAGAAGCAAAAAUCCGAGCUUGAGUAAACCUCCAAAGUGCUAAAGCAAAGGCCAGGUCAAGAAAGCUCGAGGGAGAUUAAUGAAGAAGCAUAUGAGCAAAGAAGCACAUGAGCAAACUUUAUCGGCUGUUGUUACAUGGAUUAAUGAAGAAGCACAUGAGCAAACUUUAUCUACUGUUGUUACAUGCACGAUAUUGGCAACUGCAGGACCUCGACGAUCCUAUGUUCUUCCUACUCUAUACAAGAAGGUAUUUGUUGGAAGUUGGUCUACUGCUUCAACAACAAUGAAGAAUGAAACAAGCAGAAGCCAUUUUCAUGUUCAAGGAUGUGCUUACCUGUUGCAUGUAGAUGUUUGUUAAGUAAUUGUUAAUGAAAGACAAUGAUUUGUUAUUGUUUUUUUUUUAUCAUUUUUGAUGUGAAUGUUGUACUAAUUUAAACUUGCAAGUUUGGUUUUGACACCAUUUUGUGACAUCAAACUCAACGUACAACACCCGGGUAACAAAAUUCCCAAGGUUGUUGAAUUGGAUUGAUAUGAAUAUCAGGAGAAGUUAAUCAAAAGUGCUU